rnacentral:rRNA from 1 species
GAUGAACGCUAGCGGGAGGCCUAACACAUGCAAGCCGAGCGGUAUUGUUUCUUCGGAAAUGAGAGAGCGGCGUACGGGUGCGGAACACGUGUGCAACCUGCCUUUAUCUGGGGGAUAGCCUUCCGAAAGGAAGAUUAAUACUCCAUAAUAUAUUGAACGGCAUCGUUUAAUAUUGAAAGCUCCGGCGGAUAGAGAUGGGCACGCGCAAGAUUAGCUAGUUGGUGAGGUAACGGCUCACCAAGGCGAUGAUCUUUAGGGGGCCUGAGAGGGUGAUCCCCCACACUGGUACUGAGACACGGACCAGACUCCUACGGGAGGCAGCAGUGAGGAAUAUUGGUCAAUGGGUGCAAGCCUGAACCAGCCAUCCCGCGUGAAGGACGACUGCCCUAUGGGUUGUAAACUUCUUUUGUGUAGGGAUAAACCUACCCUCGUGAGGGUAGCUGAAGGUACUAUACGAAUAAGCACCGGCUAACUCCGUGCCAGCAGCCGCAGUAAUAC